UUCAGCCCACGGUGACUCAGAGCUCCGAUAAUGACUGUGGCAGCGCGGCGGAUGAAAGUCUCGCUCCGACUGCAGCCGGCAGAGAGAAGCAGGAGUGAGGGCUGAGCGCCUCGGAGCCUCCCCGCUGCUGGUUGGGUUGAAACGCAUCCUGGUCCGAGGCACGAACUGUAAAAAAAAAGUCCAUUACACGGAUCUUCAGGCGCCUGGAGCAGGACUCAGCUCCAGGUCCGACCGGCGAGUGAGAAAACAUCACGAAGGGAAGAGAGCUGUGCGUCGUUGGGCAGGGGAUGGUUCACUCGCAACAGACACGGGAUGAUCCGGGGAAGUGGAACAUCAGGUCACAUUUCGGACUUCCACCCAAGCUCUGCCGAGGCCAGCCGUCCAACUUCUAAAAUUUCAGACACUGACAAUUGGCUCCGGUUUGACUUCUUGUUAAUUUAGCACUCCCCCUGGUGUCCAUCCGCAGAAUGAGCCACUCGCAGAAAGAAGAGCCUUUCAGCUUGGCUGUGCAUCUGGAUCGACUCCUACAGUGUCAAGAAUUUCCUUCUUUCUGUAUAAUUUUGCAUGAAGCUAAAGAUUUAAAUCUUUUUGUCCAACAAUCUGCCCUCAGGAGCUGAUUUCAUUUGGGAGCAUAGAUGUUUUGUACCCAGUUUCUAGCACCACAUGAAAUCAGUGUUCUGGGAGGCGGACUGCCAGCAUGUACAUCACUACACGUCAAAGUCAUUUUCCUCUCGGGGCUUAUUCAAGAUCUUAUGUCCUCAAAUGACCAGUUGUGGAAGAAUGUAUUGAUAUAACAAACUGUUGUUAAGUAGCUGCAGGUGCAUUCAAAUAGUACUUCUUAAAAUGAAAUAAUAUUUUGCAUCUUUUCACAUUUAUGUAAUUUAGUACUAUACAGAUAAAAACUGGUUUGAUUUAAUUGACGAAAUAAUAUUUAAGCACAAAACCGUUAUCUUGAAGUUGUAUUUAUGUGGCUCUCUGGGAUUAGUGACUUCUUCUCUGACUGGCCUGUGUUAGUACAGAACUCAUGUCACUGCGGACAAUAAUACUUUAUCAGCUUCUGUCAGCAUCUAUACACAAUAUUGUUUUGGUGCAACACAUUCAAGUCUGAGAUACAGAACCCAUUUUCUUCCUGAAUGGUAUGACGGCUGAACAUUUCCAAGGUGUUCAUACUUGCCUUUAAGUGUUUUUAUUUUUUUCUUAGACACUGAGGAAAAAAUGUCUAUCUGGAUUUAAAUAGUGUAAAUAAACGCAUGGCUUCAACAUUAUACGUAGAACAGUAGAAUGUUUAUAUCUUCAUUGUGGAACAAUAAAAUAUAUCGCUAUUCAA